rnacentral:rRNA from 1 species
AUGCAUGGUAUUCAAGAGGAGAGAAGUCACAUGUCUUUAAGAGGGGAAAGACAUGUUAGUUUGUGUUAUGAUUAUUAUGCUCUGAUUUGUUUUGCUCUGAUUUUCCUUUCCCUAUAUUCUCCCAUUAUCCAAUAUAAGAUUCAGGGGGAGAAAGACAUCCUGGGGAAGGAAAUCUUCGAAUUCAUUGCACAUCUUUACCUCUUUUGGGGACAUGUUUAUACUCAAAUAGAGUACCUAGUACUCACUCACUACAUGUCAUCCCAAUCUUGGUACUCUUGUGGUUUACCGUUUGCUCUGUUUAGUAGAUGUCUCCGUGUUAUCUAA